AGGGAAAAGACACGACCUAAGUUGGGUAUCCAUUGGAACAGUAACUCCCAUUAACAAGUGCUGCUUUCUUCGUAUUUUUCAGACGGAGCCAUUUUCACUUUCCGUUCACCCGCAGAGAAUAAAAGUCCUCAGGAGCUAGAAUUUUAUAGGGGCAUAAUUUGGUAUCUCGCGAAUUUUCUUCAGGUCUGAAAGCACUCAGCUCCAUUAUGACUUCCGCAGUUCUUACCCUCUCAGAUAAUAGUGAGGCUUAUGAGCAACAAAAGUACUCAGAGCCUCAGAUCCAGUCUAAUGCGACGUCUCAUUCUGGUACUGCGUUUCCAAAUAUGAAUUAUGCAAUGCCCGCUCAACUUAGUGCUGAAAAUGCUGUGGUACUAUUUGAUUCACUGUUUUUGCUUUAAAAUGCAACGGCAAGUAUACCAUCCUGACAAUUAGAAGUGCUGCUAUCGAGAUAUAUUUAGCUAAUUUUAUGCUUAAGUUCUGAUGUUAAGCUGAACGGUGAGCAUUGAUGAUUACUUGUUCUCAUUCUUCAUCACUAUUGAAAAAUUAAAUUUUGCAGGCACAAACACCUUAUUCAUAUUCAGAUCCUUACUAUAGAAGUAUCUUUGCUCCUUAUGAUGCACAACCUUAUCCUGCGCAGCCUUAUCCAGCCCAACCAAUGUUAUUCCUUGUGAUAAAGCUCAUGUGAAUGGAACUAGCCUGUAGAUUUGAAAUUUUGAGUUCAACUCUUCCUCAAUUUAGGUCUUCUUCACUUAAACAACCUAUCUGCUCUUCGAGCACCUGUUUCUCCCCUUCAGUUGAUGGGAAUUCAUCAAGUUGUUGUUCCUUUGCCAUUGGAUGCCGAUGAGGAGCCUGUAUUUGUCAAUGCAAAGCAAUAUCAUGGCAUCUUGUGACGUCAACAAUCUCGUGCAAAGGCUGAGUCUGAGAAUAAAGUUGUCAAGCCCCAAAAGGAAUUUUAUGGGAUUGACUCCUGGCCUGUUGUUGCAUUUCUCUAUUACUUCAUCCAUUUGAUUCAAUCCAAAUUUUGCUUUGAUACACAAUCUUAGUACCACUCCAACAAGGUGACUUGUGCUGUCUUAUUUUCUGGUUCAUUGAUCCAGCUCUUUUGCACACCUAUCAAAACAUGAAGAUGCACACUACACGGAUCUUCAUGCCACAGGGGCGUUGCCCCUGCACCCCCAACCUAUUAAGCAUCAAGCAUCCCUGGCAAACAAUCAAUAAAUACAUGCCCGAAAGGUUGACGCUGUCAAUCCGCUCCGUUGCGUUCAAUGCGUUCCACUCUGACAUUGUCCUAUUUUUCUAGUAUACAUGUUUUCCACUCUAUAUGAAGCACAUAUUAUAAUAGGAGAUAAAUCAUUUUAUGGGAAAGGGAGAACAGCAAUGAAUAUUUUCUUUCCUUCCUAAUCAUGUGAUUUUUCAAAAUCUAAAAUCUUUUGUGGAGAGAAAUCAUUCCCUCCCAUUUUCCUUCAUACACAAUCAAUGGAAACCAUUUUUAUCUUUCAUAUUUUCUUUCCUGGUCAUUCAGUCUUUCCAGCUUUCCACCUUAUCAAACACAUUCUAUUGGGACCAAGCGAAGAAAUGCCUCUACUCUCUUCGAUUUUUUGCCCUAUUUGGAUGAAUCUCGACAGUUGCAUGCUGUGAGAAGGGCUCGAGAAGGAGGUCAAUUUAAAAGGAAGAGUGAGAACCAGCAGCAGGAGUAUG